rnacentral:rRNA from 1 species
CCUACGGGAGGCAGCAGUGGGGAAUCUUGGACAAUGGGCGAAAGCCUGAUCCAGCGACGCCGCGUGGAGGAAGAAGUCCUUCGGGAUGUAAACUUCUGAACUAGCCGAAUAAAAGGCCUGUGGACACACAGGAGAAGAAAGUAGGCUAGGAAAAGUCCCGGCUAACUACGUGCCAGCAGCCGCGGUAAGACGUAGGGGGCAAGCGUUACCCGGAAUUACUGGGCGUAAAGGGGGCGUAGGCGGUAAAAGAAGUCAUCUGUGAAAACCUAUUGCUCAACGAUAGGCUAGCGGAUGAAACUGAAUUACUUGAGGGCACCAGAGGUAGACGGAAUUACCCGAGUAGGGGUGAAAUCCGCAGAUACGGGUAGGAACGCCGGUGGAGAAGUCGGUCUACUGGGGUGCACCAGACGCUGAGGCCCGAAAGCUAGGGGAGCAAACCGGAUUAGAUACCCGGGUAGUCCUAGCCGUAAACGAUGCUCACUAGGUGUAGGGAGUGAUAAACUCUCUGUGCUGAAGCGAACGCGNUAAGUGAGCCG